rnacentral:rRNA from 1 species
ACAAAUGCCCUGCUUCCAGGAAAAGCCUCUAAGCAUCAGGUAACAUCAAAUCGUACCCCAAACCGACACAGGUGGUCAGGUAGAGAAUACCAAGGCGCUUGAGAGAACUCGGGUGAAGGAACUAGGCAAAAUGGUGCCGUAACUUCGGGAGAAGGCACGCUGAUAUGUAGGUGAAGUCCCUCGCGGAUGGAGCUGAAAUCAGUCGAAGAUACCAGCUGGCUGCAACUGUUUAUUAAAAACACAGCACUGUGCAAACACGAAAGUGGACGUAUACGGUGUGACGCCUGCCCGGUGCCGGAAGGUUAAUUGAUGGGGUCAGCGCAAGCGAAGCUCUUGAUCGAAGCCCCGGUAAACGGCGGCCGUAACUAUAACGGUCCUAAGGUAGCGAAAUUCCUUGUCGGGUAAGUUCCGACCUGCACGAAUGGCGUAAUGAUGGCCAGGCUGUCUCCACCCGAGACUCAGUGAAAUUGAACUCGCUGUGAAGAUGCAGUGUACCCGCGGCAAGACGGAAAGACCCCGUGAACCUUUACUAUAGCUUGACACUGAACAUUGAGCCUUGAUGUGUAGGAUAGGUGGGAGGCUUAGAAGUGUGGACGCCAGUCUGCAUGGAGCCGACCUUGAAAUACCACCCUUUAAUGUUUGAUGUUCUAACGUUGACCCGUAAUCCGGGUUGCGGACAGUGUCUGGUGGGUAGUUUGACUGGGGCGGUCUCCUCCUAAAGAGUAACGGAGGAGCACGAAGGUUGGCUAAUCCUGGUCGGACAUCAGGAGGUUAGUGCAAUGGCAUAAGCCAGCUUGACUGCGAGCGUGACGGCGCGAGCAGGUGCGAAAGCAGGUCAUAGUGAUCCGGUGGUUCUGAAUGGAAGGGCCAUCGCUCAACGGAUAAAAGGUACUCCGGGGAUAACAGGCUGAUACCGCCCAAGAGUUCAUAUCGACGGCGGUGUUUGGCACCUCGAUGUCGGCUCAUCACAUCCUGGGGCUGAAGUAGGUCCCAAGGGUAUGGCUGUUCGCCAUUUAAAGUGGUACGCGAGCUGGGUUUAGAACGUCGUGAGACAGUUCGGUCCCUAUCUGCCGUGGGCGCUGGAGAACUGAGGGGGGCUGCUCCUAGUACGAGAGGACCGGAGUGGACGCAUCACUGGUGUUCGGGUUGUCAUGCCAAUGGCACUGCCCGGUAGCUAAAUGCGGAAGAGAUAAGUGCUGAAAGCAUCUAAGCACGAAACUUGCC